UCGAAAAAUUCGCUUUUUUUAAGCGACGACGAAUGAUUUGAACGAAGAGGAAACAGCGGGCAUGACUGAAUAACAUUCAGGUAAGCAUAUUGUUAUGUUAUAUGUAUAAUGGAGCAGUUUUGAAAGUAAAUAUUCGCUAUCUUCAUUCAUGAAUUUUGAGCAUGUGUUCAUGUUUAAAAUUUGAAUUUGCCGCGACAAUAUUUGAAUUAAAAAGAUGAUAUAUUAGUUUUAUAGAAAGGCUGACAUUUGACUUUAUAUUAAAUUAUGUUUAUUGUAUAAAGGGCAACUAAUAUUUGUGUAUAUGAAUAUAUGACAGACUACCUAUAACAAUGUUUCUGGUAUAAAGUAUAAAUAUAGCUUGGCAUCUACUCAAUUAUCAUGUGCUCAACUACACAUGUCCCAGCUAAACAUGGUUUGAGAAAAUGUAACCACUUGUUUCAAAUCAACUGCUACUUUCAUAAGUUUCUAAUUUUUAUAUAUCUAGGUUUUUUAUGUCCAAAUUCUUCAAUCAAUGAAAAAAUCUAUUUCACUGUUAGAGGUGUUAUGCACCAGUCAAUGAAAACCUAUACAACUCAGCCCCCCCACCCCACCCCCCGAAUAUAAGCCCAGUAGCCCACUACGUUAUUCAACAUUGACAUUGUCUUUUAAUUAACCCAUUAAGCUGCGGAACUUCCCCAUUGACAAGUAAAAUUGUCUGGCAUAAGACAAGUAAAAAAAUAAGUAAGGCACACUGGGGCGCAUUGCGGCUUGAUGGGUUUACCAGAGACAUAAUUUGUCAAAUUUUUUGGUCAACCCAUUAAGCUGCAGAGUUUCCCCAUUGACGAGCAAAAUCGUUUGGCGUUAGACAAGUGAAAAAAAAGUAGAGCGCACUGGGGCGCGUUGUGGCUCAAUGGGUUAAUAUAUCAGAGAACAAUAUUUAAAAACAUUGUCUUUAUAGCUUAAGUCAACGACAAAACGUCGUUAAUUAAUCAAAGUGCAUUAUUACUAUGUGUUUAUUUUCCUGUUUAUGACUGACUUGUUUAUUAUACUAACACAAAAGAUUGAAUGUCCAUGUAUAAGCUCUAUCCCUCUUAUAUACUGUAACCCCCCCCCCCCCCCCUUUGUAUAAGCCCACCAAAUAUAUAGCCCAGGGUUUAUAGUCCGAGAUUUACGGUAUUCUAUGAACCCAUUAAGAUGUGAUGUUGUGAUGGAUUAACAGACUGUGUGUACAUGUCUCAGUUACCAUUAGCACUUACAUACCCUAAUUUAACCCAUUAAGCUGCAGAGCUUCCCCGCGUUUUCCCCGUUUCCUAGGAUACGAGGCCUCAUCACGAUUUAUGAAUAAGGUCUAUAGUACUCUGAUUUUCCAUUUAACAUACAAGCCUCUAGUCCUGGGAUAGGGUACAUUUUGAUUUACGUUGGGCAAAGCUACAGUUCGGUCGGACACAAAUACACUCAGGUCGGACAAACAAUAAACCUCAAUUUCGCUUUGGUCGGACAGAAUGUCUGGUGGUUUCCUCUCUAUGUCGGACAAUUUCACUAAUGGGUCGGACAAUGUCCAUGACCGACCGAUAUUUUAAGGCCUGCAUAGCCGGAUUAACCCUAACCCGUAGUUAAAAUUUAUGUAUUUCUACAUACAGUAUCUUUUUGUUUUAAAAUUAUGAAAAGAAAACUCCUAUGGUACUGAUCCAGACAAGAUGUCUAAAGAAAUAUUUCCAAAUUUAUAAACAAACUGUUAGGAAGUUUGCUUAAUCUAAGGUUAACUUAUCGGCUUUCGAACAAUCAACCCCUGCAUGGUGAUUUUGUUUGUCAAUGGGGAGUGUGUUGGACUUAAAAGGUUUUAACCUUUCAUUGAAACUAGAUUGUCUGCCCACAUUUUGUGUUAACACAUUAUUAAGAUAAAAGUCAGACUGCUUUCAGUACUUCAUGAUUUUACUAUGUCGAACAUCAGAGGGUCACAUUUCAUAUUUAACCCUUUUAGAUGCAAAGGACAUUUUAGUCAUCCAGAGGGGGAGGGAGUCUAAGAGUAGAAUCUUCUGAGACUGAUAAUAGUAAGAUGUACUAAGACAUCAAUGGAAUGGGGUAGGGGGGGGUUAAAUUCCAAGUUUCUUUGUAUGUCAUGCUUAAAGUUUUCAAGGAUGGAUAGAUCGGCUUAGAUAAAAAUAUCAAUUUGAUGUUUUGUGUGGCAACUUGAAUAUGGACAUCGCCCUAAUUGGAAACAGUUAAAGUCCUUAGUUUGUUUGUUUGUUCAAACUCAUGAAUACAUUUAGCUAGCUACACCACCCACAUGAUCUGCUUAGUAAUAUAUGUAACAACCCAAUUUACUCCAAUUAACCCAGUUUUCAGCACUUUCUUAAAUUAUGUCACCUUUCCUAAUGCCAGACAAGUUAAUUUGUGUGUAGCUAGAUUUUGCCCAUGUUUCAUGUUGACAUAUUUAGAUGCAAUUUUCCAUAACACUCCCUACUGUAAGUACUUUAAUAUUGAACUGUGACGUCUCAUGCUAGACAAUUUUACUUAUCGACUGCAUGGACUCAUUUCACCUAUUAACACCGAAGAAACAAUUUCCUCUUAAAUGUUGCCUACUUUCGGUUCUUUCUAGGGGUGUGCAGGACAGAGUAUUUCUGCUAUCCAGCCAGAUACAGGAUAUGCUGGAUGGCUGAAAAAUAUCCAGCCUGAUUAAGGGUAUUAUUCAAAUAAUUAUAUAAGGUCCAGGCAUCAUUUAAGGUUAAGUACUGGUAAUAAUUUUAUUUGGUUAAAAAGUAAACAGUCUAAAACUAGUAAACCUGCAUCAUUGGUAGCAAACAUGCAUCAUUGGUAGCAAAAGCCUCGUUUACAUCAGUUAAAAGUUCAAAUCUCCAUUUACUGUACAAACAAGCAUUGAAAAUACUGAUCAUAUUUAUCAUAUUUUUACUUCAAUGAUCAUGAUAUGAUAACCUUAUCAAAUCAUUUUCUAACCUGAAAAGAAGGCCUGAACCCUAUAUGAAUAAUAUCCGGCAUUGGGUAGCCGGAUACCAGAUAAUGAAUUAAAAUCUUAAUAUCCGGCCAGAUACAGUAUCAGCCCAUUGCAUCCUAUGUCUUGAAAUGCCAAACAAAUUAACUUGUUAAAUGACUGUAUAUUGAUAUUCAAUAUACUUAGCUAAUAUAUGCACCCUUUUAUUGUUAACCCUGUGAGCAGCAAUGUGCCCAAGUGCACCCUACUUUGUUAUGUUGCACUUAACUAACACCAGACAUUUUACUUUGUGAAAUGCCAGACAAUUUUACUCCUCAAGAGCAGUGUCCUGCUCACUAAUGGUUAUCCAAACUAUCUGCCAAUGUGCCUUGAUAACCCAUUAGGCCGAAAUGCACCCAAAUGGACCCGCCUUUGUUAGUUUACUCUGUCAAACGCCAGACAAUUUUAGUCAUCAAGAAACACCAGACAUUUUACUUUGUGAAAUGCCAGACAAUUUUACUCCUCAAGAGCAGUGUCCUGCUCACUAAUGGUUAUCCAAACUAUCUGCCAAUGUCCCUUGAUAACCCAUUAGGCCGAAAUGCACCCAAAUGGACCCGCCUUUGUUAUUUUACUCUGUCAAACGCCAGACAAUUUUAGUCAUCAAGAAGAGAGUCCUGCGUGCUAGUGGGUUAAAUUACUUAAUUACAUAUGUUAUAUAUAAACGUAAGCUGUUAGAUUGUCCCAUUGUAUAUUAAUUUUUUACUUAUCUUGACACAGGCUUGUAUGUUGGAUUGAUACGACUACCUGUAAAUAUGGUUAAACUUGGCUAUGUGAUUCAAAGGUUGUGGUACAAUGAUACAAAAAAGAAAAUGAUACAAAGAUGGAAUGAUUGGAUGCAAGUUAUUUACAGUGUUUCAUAUGACAGGUAUUCUGAUUGUGGAAGAUGUGGGCUUGCAAUAUUUUGACAAUUGCAUGGCUAUAAAGUACGAGACAAUUAAUAUAGUACUCCAUUACUCUAAUUGCCAGAACACUGCAUCAGAAUGAGAAGUGGUCUGUUACAGUUCGGUUUAGUAAAAGUACAUAGUAAAAGUACAUAGUAAACUAUGUAAAAUGUAAUUUAGUCAGUGUCAAAUAAAUAUUUUGUC